GGGUUGUGAGGUUAAGCGACUAAGCGUACACGGUGGAUGCCUUGGCAGUCAGAGGCGAUGAAGGACGUGCUAAUCUGCGAUAAGCGUCGGUAAGGUGAUAUGAACCGUUAUAACCGGCGAUUUCCGAAUGGGGAAACCCAGUGUGAUUCGUCACACUAUCAUUAACUGAAUCCAUAGGUUAAUGAGGCGAACCGGGGGAACUGAAACAUCUAAGUACCCCGAGGAAAAGAAAUCAACCGAGAUUCCCCAGUAGCGGCGAGCGAACGGGGAGCAGCCCAGAGCCUGAAUCAGUGUGUGUGUUAGUGGAAGCGUCUGGAAAGGCGUGCGAUACAGGGUGACAGCCCCGUACACAAAAAUGCACAUACUGUGAGCUCGAUGAGUAGGGCGGGACACGUGGUAUCCUGUCUGAAUAUGGGGGGACCAUCCUCCAAGGCUAAAUACUCCUGACUGACCGAUAGUGAACCAGUACCGUGAGGGAAAGGCGAAAAGAACCCCGGCGAGGGGAGUGAAAAAGAACCUGAAACCGUGUACGUACAAGCAGUGGGAGCACGCUUAGGCGUGUGACUGCGUACCUUUUGUAUAAUGGGUCAGCGACUUAUAUUCUGUAGCAAGGUUAACCGAAUAGGGGAGCCGAAGGGAAACCGAGUCUUAACUGGGCGUUAAGUUGCAGGGUAUAGACCCGAAACCCGGUGAUCUAGCCAUGGGCAGGUUGAAGGUUGGGUAACACUAACUGGAGGACCGAACCGACUAAUGUUGAAAAAUUAGCGGAUGACUUGUGGCUGGGGGUGAAAGGCCAAUCAAACCGGGAGAUAGCUGGUUCUCCCCGAAAGCUAUUUAGGUAGCGCCUCGUGAAUUCAUCUCCGGGGGUAGAGCACUGUUUCGGCAAGGGGGUCAUCCCGACUUACCAACCCGAUGCAAACUGCGAAUACCGGAGAAUGUUAUCACGGGAGACACACGGCGGGUGCUAACGUCCGUCGUGAAGAGGGAAACAACCCAGACCGCCAGCUAAGGUCCCAAAGUCAUGGUUAAGUGGGAAACGAUGUGGGAAGGCCCAGACAGCCAGGAUGUUGGCUUAGAAGCAGCCAUCAUUUAAAGAAAGCGUAAUAGCUCACUGGUCGAGUCGGCCUGCGCGGAAGAUGUAACGGGGCUAAACCAUGCACCGAAGCUGCGGCAGCGACGCUUAUGCGUUGUUGGGUAGGGGAGCGUUCUGUAAGCCUGUGAAGGUGUGCUGUGAGGUAUGCUGGAGGUAUCAGAAGUGCGAAUGCUGACAUAAGUAACGAUAAAGCGGGUGAAAAGCCCGCUCGCCGGAAGACCAAGGGUUCCUGUCCAACGUUAAUCGGGGCAGGGUGAGUCGACCCUAAGGCGAGGCCGAAAGGCGUAGUCGAUGGGAAACAGGUUAAUAUUCCUGUACUUGGUGUUACUGCGAAGGGGGGACGGAGAAGGCUAUGUUGGCCGGGCGACGGUUGUCCCGGUUUAAGCGUGUAGGCUGGUUUUCCAGGCAAAUCCGGAAAAUCAAGGCCGAGGCGUGAUGACGAGGCACUACGGUGCUGAAGCAACAAAUGCCCUGCUUCCAUGAAAAGCCUCUAAGCAUCAGGUAACAUCAAAUCGUACCCCAAACCGACACAGGUGGUCAGGUAGAGAAUACCAAGGCGCUUGAGAGAACUCGGGUGAAGGAACUAGGCAAAAUGGUGCCGUAACUUCGGGAGAAGGCACGCUGAUACGUAGGUGAAGCGACUUGCUCGUGGAGCUGAAAUCAGUCGAAGAUACCAGCUGGCUGCAACUGUUUAUUAAAAACACAGCACUGUGCAAACACGAAAGUGGACGUAUACGGUGUGACGCCUGCCCGGUGCCGGAAGGUUAAUUGAUGGGGUUAGCGCAAGCGAAGCUCUUGAUCGAAGCCCCGGUAAACGGCGGCCGUAACUAUAACGGUCCUAAGGUAGCGAAAUUCCUUGUCGGGUAAGUUCCGACCUGCACGAAUGGCGUAAUGAUGGCUGUGCUGUCUCCACCCGAGACUCAGUGAAAUUGAACUCGCUGUGAAGAUGCAGUGUACCCGCGGCAAGACGGAAAGACCCCGUGAACCUUUACUAUAGCUUGACACUGAACAUUGAGCCUUGAUGUGUAGGAUAGGUGGGAGGCUUUGAAGUGUGGACGCCAGUCUGCAUGGAGCCGACCUUGAAAUACCACCCUUUAAUGUUUGAUGUUCUAACGUGGACCCGUGAUCCGGGUUGCGGACAGUGUCUGGUGGGUAGUUUGACUGGGGCGGUCUCCUCCUAAAGAGUAACGGAGGAGCACGAAGGUUGGCUAAUCUGGUCGGACAUCAGGAGGUUAGUGCAAUGGCAUAAGCCAGCUUGACUGCGAGCGUGACGGCGCGAGCAGGUGCGAAAGCAGGUCAUAGUGAUCCGGUGGUUCUGAAUGGAAGGGCCAUCGCUCAACGGAUAAAAAGGUACUCCGGGGAUAACAGGCUGAUACCGCCCAAGAGUUCAUAUCGACGGCGGUGUUUGGCACCUCGAUGUCGGCUCAUCACAUCCUGGGGCUGAAGUAGGUCCCAAGGGUAUGGCUGUUCGCCAUUUAAAGUGGUACGCGAGCUGGGUUUAGAACGUCGUGAGACAGUUCGGUCCCUAUCUGCCGUGGGCGCUGGAGAACUGAGGGGGGCUGCUCCUAGUACGAGAGGACCGGAGUGGACGCAUCACUGGUGUUCGGGUUGUCAUGCCAAUGGCACUGCCCGGUAGCUAAAUGCGGAAGAGAUAAGUGCUGAAAGCAUCUAAGCACGAAACUUGCCCCGAGAUGAGUUCUCCCUGACCCUUUAAGGGUCCUGAAGGAACGUUGAAGACGACGACGUUGAUAGGCCGGGUGUGUAAGCGCAGCGAUGCGUUGAGCUAACCGGUACUAAUGAACCGUGAGGCUUAACCUUACAACGCCGAAG
rnacentral:rRNA from 1 species